UACGUAGGGGGCAAGCGUUGUCCGGAUUUACUGGGCGUAAAGAGCGCGUAGGCGGUCGUUUAAGUAUGGCCUGAAAGCCCCCGGCUCAACCGGGGAUCCGGGUUGCAAACUGGACGUCUUGAGGGGGAUAGGGGAAGGUGGAAUUCCUGGUGUAGCGGUGAAAUUCGUAGAUAUUCGGAGGAACACCAGUGGCGAAGGCGGCUCACUGGUCCAUUACUGACGCUGAGGUGCGAAAGCGUGGGGAGCAAACAGG
rnacentral:rRNA from 1 species